UUUCACGGUGAACUGGUAAUUUCUUCGGGCGGAAGCGGAUUGUUUCCCACCUUUGCUCGCUCGUCCUCCCACUCAGAGCUCGUCUGGAGCUCAGCGCUGGCGUUUUUUAAAGCUGUUUUCUUGUGGCUUUAGUCGGCGAGGGCAAUCGCACAAAGACCCUGCAAAAUCACAUAAAACCCCCCUCUUUGAAAUUCUUCAACCACUGCACGCUUUUUUAACAGGCGCGUCAGAAAUGCAGGAAGACACAGCAAUGUGAAGAGGGAUCACAUUAAAUCCCAAGUUGAAACAGUUGUAAAGAGCGACCGAUCAGGUGACUCUGUUUGGGAUUUGAUCUACUUUAAUGGUACUUUUGUCGUAUUAUUGUAUUCAAAUACAGUAAACAUCCAUGUUUAGGAGUCUCUCCCAAUAAAAAUAAACAUACUUUUAAAAAAAUAAAAAGAAAGGGUUGUUACUGAGCUUUAUUGAGAGCUUGAUUAAAUAUGUACAGUAGAUGUUUGAACAUUUAAGUGAAGGACCCAACUAGUGGUUCUGUGCUUUGUUCCAGACCAAAAUAACUGAACAAUUAUUGGAUAAAAUGUCAUGAAAUUUGGUAGAGACCUUCAUGAUGCCUUGAGGAUGAAUCCUGACAGCUUCGGUGAUCCUUUCACUUUCUGUCCAGCAGAACCAGCAGGUCAAAGGUUUCACUUAUCCAGUAAUGUACCUUGACAACUACUUAAUGGACUGGCACAAAAUCCAUCAUUCACGGUUCCCGUUCCAUCGCACAGGAACACUAACCAAAUGUCUCUCUGUGUUCCCUCUGUUACCCUCCAGGUCCUGUGUUCCCUUCUUUGUCCAGCAGAUGUCCUCAGUUUGUUCCCCAAUUGCAACCAAGUGUUUCCUCUCAGCUGUGCUUCGUCUUGAUUAUGUUCCCGUUUCAUUGUCUAGGUUCUGUAUUCUAGGUGUAGUAUGUUCUGUCUAGUUCUCUUAGUUCUACGUGUAUCAUGUUCCCUAUUUAGUUGUAUUUCCCUGUCUAGUCUUAGCCUGCCCCAGCUGUUUCUCUUUGUAGCUACCCCCAUGUGUAUUUUAGUCUUGUUUCCCCGUCAGUCUUGAUUGUAGAAUCGCUGUUAGCUUGUCUCACCUCUACCUACCUGGAUAUAAAUUCCUUGUUAGCUAGUGUUACCUGCACCUGCCAAGAGAGAUUCACUGUUGACCUGCCCGUAUG